AGGACGAACGCUGGCGGCGUGCCUAACACAUGCAAGUGGAGCGACGAACCAGGCUUCGGCCUGGGGCAAAGCCGCGAACGGGUGAGUAACACGUGGGUAACCUGCCCUGAUGAUUGGGACAACCCGAGGAAACUCGGGCUAAUACCAAAUGUGACCUCCGGCCAUAAGGCCGCUGGGGAAAGGAAGCUUCGGCCUCCGCAUCGGGAUGGGCCCGCGGCCCAUUAGCUUGUUGGUGGGGUAACGCCUACCAAGGCGACGACGGGUA
rnacentral:rRNA from 1 species